UACAGAGGUCUCAAGCGUUGUUCGGAAUCACUGGGCGUAAAGGGUGCGCAGGCCGCGCGGGCAGUCAAAUGUGUAAUUCAGGGGCUCAACCCCUGGACUGCGCUUGUACUUCCGUGCUAGAACCUUGGAGAGGAGUCUGGAAUUCUCGGUGUAGCAGUGAAAUGCGUGGAUAUCGAGAAGAACACUAACGGCGUAAGCAAGACUCUGGACAAGUGUUGACGCUCAUGCACGAAGGCUAGGGUAGCGAACGGG
rnacentral:rRNA from 1 species